CCAAUUCGUCAUCAUUGAGUAAACUUUGACCCUGUACCUCACAGUCAGCAGACACAUUCCAGCCAAUCAGCAGCAGACCCUCCCUCCCAGACCCUCCCACCUCCUGGACAGCAUCCAUUUUACAUUCGUUGUGAAGCUGCAUUCUUAGUGAGAGGAGGGACAGUGUAGCUGCUGCUGAUUUGAUAGGGAAAUUGAUAGCUAGGCAAUUCAGUGUCCACUACAGUCCUGAAGGACUCAUCUGAUCUCUCUGACCUCACUACCCCCC